AGAAACGACUCCGAGGUUGCGCUGAAGAACGGCCAAGUUAAGGUGCGCGUUGUGUUUGUAGGUUCCUGGAGAAGCUUUUUAUUUGUGUAGGGACGUGUGAAAACGAAGAUGAUAUAUCGUGUUGUGCCUAGAUCUUGAGGCAAACAUAUAGCUGAAAUUACGCGACUGAUUCUAUGGGUUAUUUCAGCACUAAAUAUUCUCCCAUUUUCAGUACAUGCAGCUAUUAUUAAAAGCUAGUAUUAAAUAUUAAUAGUAGCAGCUAGUAUUAAAAGCUAAUGAUUAUUACUUUCUUCCCUCUUUGCCUGCUUAUACAAUCCUUCAGAAAGAAGCAACAAAAAAACCACACACACAAAACAACCCCACCCCACCCUUUUUAUCCCGUGUGGACUCGUUGCUCCGAUUUCGGCACCGUCAGUGCCUGGCUCUGGGCUUUAGGGUCCAGCAUGAAGGUGAGCAGCUCACCCCGCAGUGUCUGUGCUCUCACCGGGGCUGUGCAGGCACUGAGAGCCUUCACUCAGGCUCGGUCCAGUGUUCGUUAGCGAGUGAGCGCAGCGCUGGCCCCAGUCAUUAAAAGAAGUUUGCUGGUGGCAGGACUGCAGAAAAGGGAAGUCCAUGGUCUAGCCGUGCAAGCAACACAGAAAACUUAGUGCUGAGCCUUGAUCUUACCGGAGUCAUUCCCAUCAACCUUAUGUCUCCGUUCACGGGAGUAAAGGCCAUGGGAGAAAUCCCACACAGGAAAACGUACUCUUUGCCCUGAAAACCUCGUUAUCUUAUACGAUCCAGUGCUUCCAGCUGGUCUAGCAGGAGCGAAUGCCUCACCCCGGAGCUGUUGCCUUGCUGUUGUACAUGAGGACAGAACAGGAAUUAUGCAGGCCGAUGUGCUCCUGUUCCAGCUGCAACAUGGAGAGAGGCUGCGUAACCCAUGCCAUCACUGUACUUCACUGCAGCUCGCAGUGUGCUUCCAUGUCCGCUGACAGGUGAUUAAUAAGGAGCCUGAUCCUGCACCCUCACUCCUCAAGCAAGGCUGCACGCUGUAGGGAUCUCCGGGACAAGGCUGCUCGUACGGGUAAUGGGGUUGGGUUGUGUGACCGAAGGACGUGGCCCGUGGGACACCCCUGGUGCAAAUGGAGGUCUCUGGCGUCAUGUGUCUCUGUGGGCAUGGAGAGGUGCAAUGAUUUUCUGGCAUCCAUGAGGUACCGUGGGCAUUUAAAAUAAAAACAAUAAACAAACAAAAACAGUUGGUGAAGGUGUUAUCAAAAUGCCUGGAUCUGUGGUUCUUGCCCCCAUCCCCCAGCCUUGCACUUGCCCUUUCCCGUAGGGCAGGGGAAAGGAGGGUCCCAGCCCAGGACCUGCUGGCCCUGGCUCCCUGCAGGGACAUUGUGUUGCUCUGUGAGGGAGCACAAACAAGGAUUUCAAUGUCAUGAUUUGUUUCCUCAAACAUCUCCUGUGCUCAGGUGUAGUGCCCAGGCUCCCUUUUGCCCGGCAGGAGCAGCACCAAGCCCAGGAGAGCAGCUCUGUCUGUCCCACCAGCAGCAAGCACCCGAUCCUGCUUGCUCCUGCCUGCGCCUCCCUCGACGUGCUGCCUGCACCUCCCCAAGAUGCUGGAACAAAGACCCAGGACAAGACCAAACCUGGCGUGGUUCUCCUGCGGCUCUGCUGAAGACCACAGGAAUUACCCCAGGGUAAGUGAAAAGCAAAACUGUGAGUCUCCUCCUCCAAAUACAAUGGAGAGCCUGCAAGAUAAGGCCAUGGUCCCCCUACAGAGAGCAGGUCAGCAUCCCCGGGAUCGUGUCCCAAGCCACAGCACACAGAGCCCCAGGAGAAUGUUUCCUUCAGCCCCAACGGGGUUAAAGAUUGGAUCUGGGGCAAUUAGUGUAUCCAAAAACAGGGCAGUGAAUAGCUGCAGGGCAUUUAUUCAGCUCUAAUGUGACAAGUUUAAUUCUUCUGUUCAGAGCCAGUUAUUUUCUUACAUAUAUUAAUUAUUUGAAAUAAUUCUCUGAAUAACAUCUAGAAAUAAUUCAGGCAAUAGAUCUUGAUAAUGAACCCGCUGCUACUGAAUGGUUGAAAUUUCAGCUGUGCUGGUGACUUUGGCUUGGGUGAAUGUUCACACGGCAUUGUUUCUUCUCUUAAAUAGUAGUACGUGACUUUCAGAUCCAGAUUCUGGUCUGAAUUGCUGUGUUUAUGAGGUCUCUAUUAUUUGCCAUUUCUGUAAAUGUUCCUGACAGUAAAUGCCUUUGUUAGAAUAUUAUUGGUAAAGUAAACAUAAAAAGCGUGUGAAUGAAGCCAGAGCAAAUCUAAGCUAUUUGUUUGAAUGGGCAGUUAGGGGAAACAGCUUCCAAGACAGGUAGCCACCUCCGAGCCUUCAGUGAAGCUGCUGGGAACAGGGUCUCUCUGCCCAGCUGACACCAGAUUUUCCAAUUUCUUGUCAAGCUUUCAUAGGGUGUUUUAAAACAUACGUCUAUUUUUGUUGCUUGCAAAUCUUAAUAGGCAAUAUCCCACAUAAUGCCCCACACUACUGUAAGAGCAGUGGUGCUCACACUGCAGGCUGCCUUUGCUCCAUGGUGUUUGUGGUGGGGCAGGUGCAUGUGAGCACCGAAUGGGGCAGGGUGUGCUCCUUCUGCUGGAGGCGUUGUGCUUGGAGAUGACGAGGACAGGGCGAUUGAGAUGUCCGAUACGUUCAGGGGCUCUCAGGUAAGUAACAACACUUUCAGUUGUUUAUCACCCAGCCAGGAUUACAGUGACUGCCAUGUCCUGGAGGAGCCGGCUGAUCAGAAGAGCUCGCCUGGAGCCGGAGCGCAGCGGUGAGCACUGGCCGGGUGCUGCAGGCACGGCUGUGCUGCCGGAGCGGGGCCUGCCUCCGCUCCUGCCCCUGCCGGCCGGGGCCGUGUCCUCCCAAACGCGGGAGCACUGGAGUUCUAGAGGGCUUUCCUAUCCAAAUUCCAGGCCGCUUGGCCAAGGCUGAAGUGGAAGGGAAUGGCAGAGGUGCCUGUGUGCAAAUAGGGAAGAGCUGCUUUUGCGGUCCAGUUUCUCACUCAUGCCCUAAAACUGAUAACACUUAAGACCCCUGGACUAAGGGCAAUGAAUGCAAAAUGAGAGCUCUGCAAAAUCCCCUGAUUCCAGGCCAGCUCCCUUGCUUCGCUUUGCUGCUCCUUGGCAUUGGCCUUUCAGCCAAGCGAGCAAGUCAAUGGCUAGCUUCAUUGCCAAAAAAUGUUCCUCACUGUUUCCCGUACAGCUAAUGAGAAUGCAAAUGGGCUGGUUUUCUAGCUUGCAACCUCCACUGCUUCCUUUCUCUGCCUGGUACCUAGGUGCUGUCCUUCUGCCAUGAGAUCUAAGUGUGUUUUGCUGGCUUGUGGGUUGUCCUCACAGAGCAGAGGAGACACUGGGUGUUUGGGUGGCAGAGCUGGGAAGGUGUAGCGAAGGAGAAACCAGAAACUCUCAAACACCUGCUCCAUGUGGUCCUUCCGUGUGCCCUCCCUUAAAGACAGACUAGUUUAGAAUUAGAAAACUGGGUCAGAAGCAGGUUUGUCUCUGAGUUAGACACCAUGUCAGAGCACAAGUCAUUUAUUUUUCCUGGUGCAUACAGCAACCAGCCCAUGGCUGGGCAGCAUAGGGUACCUUAGCUGGCUCUUCUCUUCCACACUUUAAUCAACAGUGUUGCUCUUCUAUACCGAGGAAAAAAAAAAAAAAAAAAAAAAAAAAGUUUUCCAUGAGGCCCGCCAUGCGUUAUCACUUACAGCUUUGAGCCCUGCAGAAACAGAGUGGGGAUUCUGUCUGCACCUCUCUCUGUGUUUCUGUACAGAAGAGCAGAGCCUCUCCUGCCCAAACCCUCCUGCCCCAACUCUGCCUGGGCUUUCCCUGGGGAUGGUGUCACACACCAUUACAAAACCAGCCCUGGGUGCUUUCCAGCUAGCAGAGCCUGGCCGGAGUCCAGCCAGUGUCCCCAGCCCUGGCUCCCAGGGAUGCGUUCCUCGCCUGGCUCCCUUUCUGGGGAUGUUGGACCAGAGAUGAGAGCUCAGUAGCUUAUGGGCAUUGUCGCAUCGACUGUCCUGAUGGGCACUCCGGACUCUUCAGGGACCAUGGGACAAUUCAAUAAAGGGACGCAGCGCUGGAAUUUUUUCCACACAGACACACACUCUUCAUCCCCAGACAAUGCACGAGCGCUGCAGAGUGAGGCGAAGCCUCCUGAGCAUUGCCCUUUUCUCUGCUCCCCCAUCUGGAGAGUGUCUCCGUAUUCGCCUCGAGUCUUUCGGGGAGCCCAGGUUCCUCUGGCUGCGCCUUCCCAGCCCGGCCACCAAAGGGCUUCCUCUGCCUGGAGAACACGGUCUUUUUUAAAAGCAGUCUGACAUCUUUCCUUUGUUCCUGGCUUUCCACUAGGAUUUUCCAUGAUGCAAUCCCGUAUGGGGUUACUGGCACAGAGCUGUUAAAAGUCAGUAGCUGCGCCUGGAGCAAACCCAUUGUUCUGCCAGUGCAGAGCCCUUCAAUGCCGCUGACUCCUGCGUGGCCUCACUCCUGCUCCCCGGCACCGCCACGCUCGCUGCCAGAGGGACGUCCUAAUCCGCACCCAGGGCUGCAGCCGCCAGCACCAGGCACAGCAUGAGGAGCCGGUCGUAAUUAGACACAGGCACGGCCACCAAAGUGUCACACCUACCAGUGGCACCGGGCUCGGCCACAGCUGAGGACCGGGCUGGGGCUCACCUGAUGUGCCUCCCUUCCUUUGCAGGCUGCUGCUCCAGCAGAGAAGGGCUCCUUUGGGAAGGGAAGCGAGAGGCUGUAGCUUUUAUCCUUUUGGAGGAGCAAUUUGCAAGGAAAACAAUGCAGGAUUCUCUGGUAUAAGGAGUAUUAGCUGCAUCAUCUUUUAAAAAUAAUUUAGUCAAGCGAAUGUUGGCCGGGGAUUAGCACCCUCGCAGGCACUUGGUUUGUAGCAAGGGGAUGUUUGCUGAGAUUUAUUGAUGUUGGGGAUUGUUUCAAAUGCAUAGGUGACAUCUAAUGCCAGAGCAGCUCUUGGGCUCACUUAUGAGAUAAGUCAAAGGCUCUGCAAAGUUUUCAGCAGUGUAGCCAUUAACCCUGAGAUUAUGAUAUCCUUUGUGUUUUUCCAGCAUGUCCUGCCAAGUCUUCGCCUUAAGCAGAGGAAGGAUGAAAAAUGCAAAAAAGCUGUAAGAUUCUCUUACAGCUGAAAACCACUGUCUGCUACGCUGCUCCCUGGGACAGAGAAGAGCCUGCGUAUAAUAAGUAGGGAAACAUCUCUCCCAUCCAGCACAACCCUUUUCUUCAGAGUGAGACAAGUGGAGAAUGGUGGAGGGGAAACGUGGUCCCUGUCUGGGAGGAUGCAAUCUUGUCUCCCAUCCUCCUCUGCUUUUCAUUCCUGGAUGUAAAGGACUGGGAAAUUUAAACUUCAAAAGGGCUUUUUAGGUAGCUGCAUUGGAUGCCCCUUUCUUCCAAGCAGGUCGUAUAAGGGAAUUAUUUUUGUGGUAGUAGUGAGGUUAUAAUUUCUUCUCUAAGCAGCUGCCCGUAACUGAGGAUGGCACAACAAAAAGAGACAGCUCCAGUAGUAUUUCUCCAGGACUGGAGAUCAUAAAAAUCCCCCAGCUAAAACACUUGUAGCAAAUAAAAAAAUGCAGGAUAAGUGAUGCUGAAAUGCUUAGUGACCUCACCUCAACAUGGCUGAACUGUUGCAUUGAAAGAACUUCACAGUGUGUUUUCUGUCCCUCUCCUACACAACAGGAAACAUUUUUUCUAGUAAUAUCCUUUAGCUUUAAUUAAAUCAUUAAAAGUAAAACAAAUAGUACCUCCCUCAAAAGAUAGUCUUGAGUUGAACAAAACCUCUUGUUCUGCUCCAGGUUUUUGAGAAAUACUGACUACAUCAAAAUGAAAACCAAUGUGUUUUUGAUAUUUGAAGAAAAAUUCCUGUUUCCUUUUAUUAUCUGUAGUUCCUUAAUGAAAAAAAAUACUCUCACUUGAGAGACUUGGACAAUGAUUUGAAGAAUUAAAAACAAAACAAAAAACUAGUCAGCAUUCUAGAGCUUCCAGUAUCAGGGCAGGUGCUGUAGGACUGCCCUCUAAAUUUCACUUGGAGAGCUGAAAGAACCAAGGCAUUGACUCAGGCGGGAGCGAGUGAAUUACUUCCAACUUUCAAGGAACAGAACCAAAUAUCUGUGAUAGCAAGAUAAUAUCCACUGUUAUUGCUAGAAGCAUGCUUCAGUCUCAUCUACAUAUGGAAUAAACAGCUUUGGCCUUCUUGCAAUGAUCUAAGCACUUUGUAUCACCCAUCUGCUCAUGAAAAAAAGACUCUCCUGAUCACUUCGAGGUUUUUUCCUCAGAAGGUGGUUGCAGCAUGGACCUCAGUGGUAUUGCAAAGACAGGUGAUGGCUGAUUCCCCUGUCAGCCAGAGCUGCUGUUCACAUCAGUGCCUGAGAUAGGAGCAGCUAAUCUGCCCCUCCAGCCCUUUGGAAGAGGCAAACCCCUCAGCAGGACCAUGGUGGUUUCAGAGGUCCCCAUCCUGUGCCACCUGGUGCCUGCCCCCAGCUCCAGCUUUGGGUUCUGGGGGGAUGCCUGUUCCCAAAGUGCUCCCAUACCUGCUCCGUGGCCAAGGACGAGUCAGAGAGAUGCUGCUUGUGGUAUGCUUCAUGGUACAAGUUAGUCCUUCUUCGUGGGAGUCCAUGAGCAAUUAAAGGAGGAAAAUUGUAAUUAAUGCCAAUCAGCAUGAGUUCCUGGAAAACAGAACGUGAUGUCUCUCUUUGGUUUAGUUGAUAGAAGUGAUAGUAGCAUACAAGGGUUCUGUGAGACAUUUGACUGGGUACCACAUGACAUUUUGAUUAAGGAUCUAGAGCAGUAUAAAAUCAAGAGUGUGUGCAUUAAAUGGAUUAAAACCUGGCUCCCUGACAGGUCUCCAAAUGUAACUGUAAAUCAUCCGCCAGCUGUGUUUGUUGCAAGGUCCCUCCAGUAUUCUUGCAUUUAAUAUCUUUAUCAAUGACAUGGAAGAAAAUGUAAAAUCACCACUGAUGUGGUCUACUGAUGGUGUAACAAGCCAGGAAGCAGUAAAUAAUGAGGAGGAAAGGUCACUGAUAUGGAGGAAUACAGAGAGCUUGGGGAGCCAGGCUUAAGCAAACAACAAACAUGGUGAUGCAGGUGUAUAAAAGAACAAAGGAUAAAAGCUGCGCCUCUGGGGCAGGAGGCUCCAGGAUUGCAGAAUGCUGAAGAAGCUUUUGGGGACAUGGGCCAAAGUCACCUGGUGAAGGGAUGUUCCUGGUGCUGGGCUGUGUCUGAGCAGGUUAUGGGGUACAUCUCCAGUGCCAGUGCUGCUGCAGUGAGUUAAAAAGUCAAUGCCUUGGAGAGGGUUCAGGGAAGAGCCAGGAAGGUGUCUUGAAAGGGUGGCAAAGCCUUGCAUGACCCUGUUUGUUGAGCCACCAGAGCAGAGUUAAGGGAAGAGAUGGUUCCAUUUUGCAGAUGGGGAGAGUGAAGCAAGUGAGAGGAUUUUGUCUAGAUCCGUAUACAGCAACUAGAAACUGAAUAUGGAGGCAUUCAGAGGGGGGGAACAAGGCUUCUGGGAAUGUACUUCAUCAGGUCUUAACUUGUCAUCUAGGAGCUUUGGCCAGGCUUCGUAACUUAUGGCACACCUCCUUAUGGAGCACCAGCAUCUCAGCAGGAUUGAACCAGUAUCGCUACAGUGGCAUAGCUGGAUCGGUGACGGAUGUCUGCAUGUAGGUAAAAGCUGAGGUCCUGCUCACGUUGAGGUCAGUAUCAAAAAUGCCAGCACUUCUGGGGAGGUGGGAUUUCCCCUGGAGUUCUUAGGUACCUUUUAUCUUGGUCUACAAACAAUGGUAAAAUAAGCCAAAAGUGAUUUUUUUGACCAUUAUAAUACACCUUCCUGGAUGCAUGAUUCAAAAUUAAUUUAAAAGUGCUGUAGGGUAUGUUGCGUGUGACUCCAAGGCUCUAGAUAGGCAUUCACCCUGCAGCAGCUGGGUGAAUGCAGUGGCUGAAGCAUUCCCUUACCCACAGACUUCCCAGCCAUGUGGUUCUUCUCCAUCUCAACUUGGAAAGGCUUAAAGCCACCAGGGGUUGUGGGGUGGCAGCCUUCCCAGCAAGGUGGCAAUGCACAUCUCGUGGUCAUCACCCACAACAGCAAGACCUAGAGGAGAUGGAUGUCCACAACAACCUGUGUUCUCAGGGUGAAUCUACUUAGGAUUGGACCGAGCAUGUUUGCACUAGUGUUUCUAUAUGUUAAAGUUGUUUGUUAAACAAGAUUUAAAGCAGUUCAAGAUUUGUUGAAAAUAACAGGCUAUUACCUGAGAUGCCGUUACUGCAUCUUGAAGGUAGCUUAGACUGAGUUUCAUUUUGCAGGAUCAGGCAUGGGGAAUGCGCUGACCAGUGAUACCUCAGUCAUUGCUGACCAUUUAUAUCUUGUGAGUAGAGAAACAGAGAUUCAUUUGGAUGUUCUUGUACCGAUACAAUGAGGUAUGAGGGAAUCUAUAGCUGACAAAAUUUCCACAGUAUAGAGUUAGAAGGUAUUGAAAGCUGCAUCCCUGAGGGAUGUAUUUGAGCUUACAUUUGCUUACAAGGCUCUUGGGGGAAAUUUCAUGGUUUUUUUUUUUCAUUCGUCCAGCUGGGCACUGCAUCCAAAAGGGACAGCAUCACUCUUUCCUCCCUGCCCCAUCUUGUCUCUGGAGUUGGAUGGAGUGACCAUGCGACCAGCUGGGAGCUGGAUUUGUAGGGGCUCUGGCAUGGUCUGUUUUGAUGAGCUGGUUUCUGCUCGGAUCCUGACCUGAUAUGACUUGCAGAGAGGCGUACCAGUAACCACAGUCAGUGAGUGUGAGCAGGAUUUCUGUGGCAACCAUCAGAAUAGAUGAAGCCUUUCAUAACGUUGGGCUCUCCGUUGCUUUUCUUGCCUGGGUUCCUUGAGGUGGGACCUGUGUGAUGUUAAAUCCCUCUACAUACAAAUAAAGAGGGUUAACAGCAUGCUCGCGACCCUGAUGAGCUAAAUUAUGCAGGAAAGCAGCAUGUGAAUGUAGUGGCCAGGUUACAUACGAGCAGAGUUAGGCUAAGCACAGAAGGCAAGUCUAGGCUGAAAUAACAUCUCGCAGUGCUGUGCAGGGCAGAAAGUCACCGUUUCAGGCAUGGCUGCAGUUCAGCUAUCAGCCUGGCCCGUAGUGACACUGGAAGAGCCGUCAUUUGCCUUUUCAAUAAUCUGUCACCCAUCGCUGCUGCCUGGAGCAGGGGAAGUUUAAUUUCCUGCGAGUCAUGGCGUCAUUUGCAAGGUUUAAUCCUACCUCUUUCCAAGCCUCUGUUGACAAAAUAGAUGAGAACAAGUCUGUUGCAGUGUUCCUGCCUGCUUAGCUGCUGUUGGGAGUUGUCCUCUGGCCAGCAGCAUCUCCAUCAGCUUCACCUGUUGGGCUACUGCAGCGUCCCAGGUCAGUGGACUGGAGAUGCUGGGAGAAGGUUUGCUUCAGUUAAACACGAGCAUCUGAUGUCAGGGGAUUCCUGCCAGUCAUUGUUCUGCUGCCUAUGUGGAAACAGGCUGAACUCUGCGGUUUUGCUAUGUAACAUUCUUAUGUAGCUGGCCGAGUCGCCAACAUGAUAAAUGCAAUUAUUUUUUCCAAUUGUUAUUUUUGCCUAAAGCAUGCAAUUGACACUGAAGUCUGCUGGGCAGGAUGGGAAUGCAGCAGCCGCUCACAUCCCUGUGGCGGCGUGAUGAUGUGAAGGCAUGAAUCGCGGCAGUGGGAAGCACAGGCUGCCAGCGGCCUCGGCUGGGGGCAGGCACCAGCCCGUGUCCCCGUUGCUUCCACGCAUGGGUGCUGGUGCUCGGGGACAACCUGCUUUCUUGGUGCAAUUGUUAGGGGAAGGCCCAAGGUUUCUGGGGCAGCUGCAACCCUUUUAUUUCUCUUGUGAAGGGGCAACUGUCCCUGCAUGACUUGGGCCAUCUGUGCCGUGGCCUACCCAGCCAUGCAAGGGGCCAGGCCGGCCGAGCUCCCACCAUGGUGGUUAAAGUUUGUUUUAGCCGCCUUAUCUAAUCUCCCUCCCAACUUUUGCUGGGGGAAAGCGUUUAUUGCUUGUAUCGUGUUACUCCAUGAGCACUCGCUGGCCGCGGCUGUUUGCGUGUGUGCAUGUAGAUGUGAAGGCAGAUAACUCCAGGCCUCGCAGUUUUAUGGGUCAGUCAAUCCCGACUGCUUCCACCGGCAGAUGUGGGGAUGUGCCGCCUUCGUUACCUGUGGGCCGUGCGCUAUCAGGGCGUAAAUCAGCAAAACAGGGCUCUGUUUAUACACAUAAAUUGCCCCAAUCUGACAGCUUAAUACCCUUUUGACUUUUUACCCUCUGUGGGGGAGAGCCUGCCAUGUCUUAUGGCCCUGGCGGUGACGGCAGCACGGGGAGGCAGCCCUGUUAUAAAAGCAGGGAGCGCGUUUGGCUCCUGCGCCUCCAGGCUUGGCUGCCCCAGAGGGGACGGGCCCUUCCAGCAGACCAGUCCGGCAGGAAAUUAUCUGCUCUCCCUUUCCUAAAUUACCCGCUGGGCAGCCAGUUGCAGGGGCCCGAAAAUGCCAGCUCCAUCUGUUCCCCUCUGGACAUGAUUCCCAGGCACGCAAGACCCUGUACCGGUGACUUGGUCACUGGGGGGGCGAAGCCACCCAUCUGUCCCCCCCGCAGCGCCUUGCGCAAGGCUGUGUUUCUUCGCCUCUGUGGGCACGCGGUCCUGCCCUGCCGAAGGUCAGCCGGGGGAGUUUUCCCUAAGCAAUGGCAUGGGAAAGCCUGCUGGGCUGCCUUCGAGGUGUUGUGUUGCUCCAGGAGACUGUUUUAUUAUUUAUAUAUAUUUUAGUGGGUGUUUCUGAAGAGAUAGCAAGGGGUUGAUGUGAAGGGAUUGGGAAAUGCCGGGACAUCGCAGUGAAGUGGGUGAUUCUGAUAUUUUGAGGAGAUUCCCAAAUUUAAAAGAAGUGGUAUCAGGGACAAGACUGUUGAAACUGAGACACUCCCCUUUGAAGUGUCCUUUUAUCUUCUCACUUCUCUGCCUGCUUCCCUGGCUCGGACAGCAGACACUCAUUGCCACAGCCAAACCCUUGGUAGCUCCCUUGGCUUCUUUUUCCCCUUCAUUUAGAGCAUCCUAAAUCUGCCUGGACAAAACCUCACCUGAAAAAGGAAGACUCUUAAUCAGAUUUUUCCCUUGUGCUGGCACUGAGCAGCCCGAGGUGGGGGGUGUUAAUUCACCCCUUGUGCUCCCUAGCCCCUCCUGCCUGCUGGCACCUGAGCUCAGUAGGAGCGGGGCAGCCCCUGCCCCAGCCAGGAGCAUCCCCACACAGCUGCAGAAGAAAGAGGUGCUUGCAGUUGCUAGCAGCUGGCCAUUCCCAAACUGAUGUUAAAGCACAAGUUCAGGCUGAAAACUGAUGCUGUAGGAGACCGACCUCAUGGCAGCGUCCAUCCCGCCGGCUGAUCCUGGGUCAGGCGUGCUCAGUUUACAAGUUGCUGACUUCUGUGGUAGCUGGGCUCCUCCAUGCCCAAGCAGGGCACCAGCCAGGGUGCUGCGAGAAGCAGGGGGUGCCCCUCAGUGCACGGGGGGAAACUUUGGUGCAGGGUGGGUCAAAGACCAGCUUGGGUAUCUGGAGAGCUGGUUCUGGUGCCAGUGCAGCCCUGUGGCUGCAAACGCUUCAUUUCACCCUGCUGGCACUGCUUCCCUUGCUAUUUAUUGGCAUUUCUUAGGAGCAGGGGAUAUCAGUUGCCACACGUGCUAAAUUCUCAGUGCAAAGCAGCUCGGCUGCUGCUGCUCCUAUAGCGCACUGAGCUGGGGUAAUUCAGGGAAGCUCAGCCUCCUGUGGAGAGACAUAUAAGAUGGCUCAAGGUUGGAUGCUCUGGUGUUUAAUAUCAAACAAGCGCAUGCCUCAGCCUUUCUCUCAGCAUGGGCUCGCCUUUCCCUUGUCUGCCCGGCCCUGGGAAGGCUCGUAAGCAGUGAGUUUCUUUGAGGACUCUGCCCUUCUGGCAAACUUGGUUGAAAUUGGCCAGCGAGUUCAGAAAUUUUAUUAGGGACAGAAAGACAGACACACCCACGGCGCGAUCACAAAAGAGUUGUUUCUCUAGGAAACCAGGCUGAAAAAAAAAAAAAAAAAAAAAAAAAAAAGUGGUUGUUUAAAUAAGCAAAUACGUUUCUUGGAGACAGCAGGGCAGGGAGGUGGUAGGGGAAACACUGUGUUUCUACACCUAUCGACCUAAUCUCUUAAGCAUUAGCGUUUCUCGUUUUAAAACUCUUUAUCCCUGUUUAUGCCCGUUUUGUGGUUGGGUUCUCAGGACUUGCUCUGCCCUGUGCUGCAGCCUCGCCUCGCAAGCUCCCAUUUUGCUGCAGGGCUCCAUGGGGCACGUUCCCGAGAGCAGAACAAUCUCGUUCCUGAAAACAAUGAAUGUGGCGAGGGAGCGGCUGGGCCCCGCGAAGGCGAGGCAUGGACGUGAGCAACAAGCAGCUGUACCUCAAGCUCUCCUAUAAGGCUCCCAUUUCGGGAUUUGCAAACUGCCCCUAUCGACACCAAAGCAUCAGAACUGCUAACCCUAGGGCAGUGAAAGCCCUUUUGGUCUGAGCUGUCAGCCAAAAAUUCAAGAGCCUGCGAGUCAUUCUAGUUUUGCUGAGAACUGGUGCAGCAGUCAGGUGUUAUUUGAUGCUCUCCUGUUAACUUACAAAGAGCCUAAAAGGCCCUGUUCCCCCUAAGGUGGCAGGAAACAGGCAGGGACAGAGCUCGGUGCCUUGUCCUUCCUGCCUGGGCCAGCCCUGGGCACGGCGCUGUCUCAGCACCCACCCGUCCUCUUGCCUUCCACCCCUGGGUGCCCGUGAGGGGUUUCCCUGUCUCCAUUUCACUUUCCUCCUGGCCAGCUCAAUGCAGGAAAUCUGACUGAUUU